UUUCAGGCAAUAUGAUAAAAUUGAAAAAUUUCACAAAUGUCAGGAGAACAAGAUCUGGUGUCUGGGUUUCAACUCUUAGAGCUUCCCAGCUCGUAGCUAUGCUCCUGAAUUCCUCUGGCAGCCCUCCUCAAGGACCUCUGUGAGACAAAGUCAGAAAUGACUUCACUGGAGACCAAGAGAGCCCACAGAGCUCUUCCUGCUGCUUCUUCUACCCUUGUACUCACUCGGCUCUCUAAAUUUGUCUCAGCUCCAGCCAUGUAAAACAUGCUUGCUUCCCCUUCACCUACUGCCAUGAUUGUCAGUUUCCUGAGAUCUUCCUCCCAGAAGCUUUUACUCUGUACAGAAGCCUGUACAGCCUGCAGAACCGUGAGCUAACUAAACCUCUUUUCAUUAUAAAUUACCCAGUCUCGGGUAUGUCUUUAUAGCAAUGUGAGAAUGGACUAAUACACACACACUCCUAUUUUAUCUUCUCUAACUUUCCCCCUUCCCCACAUGUCUCCAGCCACAUUGUCUCAUUAUAGCUCUUCAAACUCACCAAACACCCUCCUGCCUCUGAGCCUUUGCACUAGCUAUUCCCUCUGCCUGGAACACUUUUCACUCAUUUAAUAAAAUGGUUCAUUCUCUCACUUCCAUCUGAUGUAUAUCCAAAUGUUUUCU
rnacentral:lncRNA from 1 species